GUGAGCAGCUCUGGGAGCAUUUCUCACUAAUGCCCUGGGAUGAGUGAUGGGGGAGUGGGUGUCACUGCUGAGGAUGAGCUGGCCAUGCAUUACAAACAUUAUCUCCUCUUGGUUGCAGUGACUCACUCAGAUCCUCCUCUGAGAAGGAAUCACUUCACAGCACUCAGGAAUUGGAAGGAAAGGCCCAGAAAAACCUUCAAACCCAAGGAUUUGACAUCAGACCUGCUCUCAGAGUCCACAGCCACCAGCUGCCAGCUCCACCAGCUGAAGGAAAGACUGGCACAGCAAUCCCUGCUGCUGUUGCUGAACUUCCUUCUCUGUGCCCAAGAGCUUUCCCAGGGAAGAGGCUGCAGGAAGACAGAGGGCAAAUCCUGCACCAAAGAGCCUCCCUGUGUUCAAGGUGCUGAGAGUCCCAGUGAAAGGGGGAAGCCACUUCCAACAGCACGAAGAAAAGUCUGAGCUGGUCCAGAUAUUCCAAGCACAGAAGAAAGUGCUGAGAAUGGAAAGAGAAGCCAAGAGGCCAGAAGAGAAGAAGCAAGUGCAGGUUUUGGGGACAGCAAGGAUGCUGGGCUUGUGCUGACUGUGUGUUGAGAUGACACCAAACCUCUGCGAUUUGGGGCCGCUGGGACUCACCUGAAGAACUCUUCACCAGAUUAUCAGCUCCAAAAAACUUUCCUGAUUAACUUUGCCAAAAGGCUGACCCUUCUUAGGCUACGAACCCUCCAGGCUGUCAAUGCUGUAACUCAUUUUUCCUGAGUUUUUCGGGGGGAGCUUCAUUUCAUGCGGGUACAAGUUUCAAACCUCAAAGGGCUCCGGAGGUUCGGAGAAGCAUCCCGGUGUUCCUGAUGCUUGUCUGAACUCUUGGAGCCUGCACAACUGUCUUGCCAGAGAGGAGAGUGUUGGGAGGCAGCAGGAGCUCUCUGGAUCUGCAUGGGCCAGAGUUACUGCAAGAACUGGGGUUCUUGUGCUGACUCUGGGGGGACUGUUUCCAUCCAGACCCAGGGAGCCCAAAGGGACGAGUGAGUUGGACGAGGCAGUUUUGCUUCACAUCUCAGCUCAAGGGGUCCAGUUGGUUCCUCUCUCUUCCAGAGCCAACUGUCCUGGGGGUGUGUGGGUGUGUGUGGGUGUUGCUGUGGGGGUGUGUGUCGGGCAAACAAAUCCACCUCAGCCCAGUUCUGGGGUGGACCCAGGGUACAUUCCAACAAGGCUCAGCAAAAAUGUCCGGGACCAGAAAAUUCUGGAAAACCAUGUCAAGCCAGACUCCACAGGCAUCAUCUCAAGGUCAGAAUGAUGUUUGAUUUUGAGGUGCUUAAUUUUCACAGUCCCUUUCAAGGGACUUGACUGCCUCAAUAGGCAUUUUAUUUUUUUUUCCCAUAGGCUUUCCUGCCUUUUUAAUGAAUUAGCCUGUCUGUGCUACUUGGUUGUUUGGUCCUGAGGUUUAUACAUUUUCAGCUGCCUUUUUGGAGUGUGAAGAACUGAAUCUCCUGGACUGAUUUUAUUUCACCUGUUGCUCCUGGCAAACUGGAGCUUUACUUGUAGCACCCUGGUUUAUAUUACCAGCCUCCCCAGGAAGGGCUGGUAGUUUAUUUUCCUGGGGCAGAGCCACACGAAUGAAGAAGUGUGUAUGUGUUUUGUCUCUGAAACUUCAGCAGAUUUCAACCACUGCGGUUUUUUUUUCCUCCUUAGAUGGUUUUACAUUUGAACUCUGACAAAACUUCUUUAGAGUUUUUAUUUUUACUAGAGAUCUUCUUAAUUCAAGCAACCUUGUACAAAAGGCAAACCCAUUGAAUCGCUGCAGGUUGUAGGGGUUGAAGCCAAAGGUCUUUGUAAGCCGACAUCACCUGCCCUGGAUCUGACUGUAUCAGGCAGUUUAUUCCUCAUGUGUCAUGUUGGAGCUACAAGAUCACCCCAAGCCACUAGAACCUGUCAAUAGAAUAGUGCUACACUCUAUUUGCUAUUGUAGCAAAGCCUUUUGUAGAUUUAUACAAUAAAACUUUGAAAUAUU
ensembl:lncRNA